rnacentral:rRNA from 1 species
AUUGAACGCUGGCGGCAGGUCUAACACAUGCAAGUCGGACGGUAGCACAGAGAGCUUGCUCUCGGGUGACGAGUGGCGGACGGGUGAGUAAUGUCUGGGGAUCUGCCCGAUAGAGGGGGAUAACCACUGGAAACGGUGGCUAAUACCGCAUAACGUCGCAAGACCAAAGAGGGGACCUUCGGGCCUCUCACUAUCGGAUGAACCCAGAUGGGAUUAGCUAGUAGGCGGGGUAACGGCCCACCUAGGCGACGAUCCCUAGCUGGUCUGAGAGGAUGACCAGCCACACUGGAACUGAGACACGGUCCAGACUCCUACGGGAGGAAGCAGUGGGGAAUAUUGCACAAUGGGCGCAAGCCUGAUGCAGCCAUGCCGCGUGUAUGAAGAAGGCCUUCGGGUUGUAAAGUACUUUCAGCGGGGAGGAAGGCGAUGUGGUUAAUAACCGUAUCGAUUGACGUUACCCGCAGAAGAAGCACCGGCUAACUCCGUGCCAGCCGCCGCCGUAA